rnacentral:rRNA from 1 species
UUUGAGCUGCCUUUUGGAAUCUGAUUAAGCCUGCGAGUUGAAAGGGUUUAGACCCUUGGCGGAUGGCUCAGUAACACGUGGAGAACCUGCCCUCAGGAGGGGGAUAAUCCCGGGAAACUGGGAAUAAUACCCCAUAGGUCUCGAAUGCUGGAAUGCUUCGAGGCUGAAAGCUGCGGCGCCUGAGGAUGGCUCUGCGGCCUAUCAGGUAGUAGUGAGGGUAACGUCCUCACUAGCCGAUGACGGGUACGGGCGUUGAGAGACGGAGCCCGGAGAUGGACUCUGAGACACGAGUCCAGGCCCUACGGGGCGCAGCAGGCGCGAAACCUNCGCAAUGCUCGAAAGAGUGACGGGGGGAUUCCAAGUGCCUGCGCAUAGCGUAGGCUGUUCAGAUGCCUACAGAGCAUCUGGAGGAAGGACUGGGUAAGACGGGUGCCAGCCGCCGCGGUAACACCCGCAGUCCGAGUGGCAAGUCGAUUUUAUUGGGCCUAAAGCGUCCGUAGCCCGGUCUGGCAAAUGGCUGGGUAAAUCGUCUGGCUCAACCAGACGAAUUCCGGGUAGACUGCCANACUUGGGACCGGUUGANGGAAAAGGUACUUCAAGGGUAGGAGUGAAAUCCUGUAAUCCUUUGAAGGACCACCAAUGGCGAAAGCGCUNUUNCAGGACGGGUCCNACGG